rnacentral:rRNA from 1 species
AUUGAACGCUGGCGGCAGGCCUAACACAUGCAAGUCGAGCGGAUGAAGGGAGCUUGCUCCUGGAUUCAGCGGCGGACGGGUGAGUAAUGCCUAGGAAUCUGCCUGGUAGUGGGGGAUAACGUCCGGAAACGGGCGCUAAUACCGCAUACGUCCUGAGGGAGAAAGUGGGGGAUCUUCGGACCUCACGCUAUCAGAUGAGCCUAGGUCGGAUUAGCUAGUUGGUGGGGUAAAGGCCUACCAAGGCGACGAUCCGUAACUGGUCUGAGAGGAUGAUCAGUCACACUGGAACUUAGACACGGUCCAGACUCCUACGGGAGGCAGCAGUGGGGAAUAUUGGACAAUGGGCGAAAGCCUGAUCCAGCCAUGCCGCGUGUGUGAAGAAGGUCUUCGGAUUGUAAAGCACUUUAAGUUGGGAGGAAGGGCAGUAAGUUAAUACCUUGCUGCUUUGACGUUACCAACAGAAUAAGCACCGGCUAACUUCGUG